rnacentral:lncRNA from 10 species
CUUGAACUCAAUCUAUCCUGAAGAUGCUCCUGAGAGGGCAAACAAAUAACAUCUCUCUGGAAGGAUGCCUGCCUUUGUCAAAGCUUUCAAAUCUGUAUGACUUCUAUCUUUCCUUGGCUUCCCUUACUCAAUUAGUCAAGGAUCCUUGUGGAUGUUUAACAUAAAAUGUCACUCACAUCUGCCCUCCUCCUCAACUUUCCAUUCCAUCCUCUCCACAGAUGCCUGAUGCAUUUUCUUCUGACUCAGUCUUCUGUUUUUCAUGGAGAACACAGAGCAAGACAGAAGCUCCCAACUGUGGCAUCCAAGAGCAACUUGAGCUGCUCCCUUACUUAUCUCUGGUAAUGAUUUGAAUCCUUUGCUUUUGCCAGACUGACUCAUCUAGUCAUUGCUCCCCAAAUAUUCAUUUCCCCAUUAUUUCUUGUGGCCUAAGCACCAAAUUUUGUUCUUUCAAAAUCUACUCUUCCUUCAGGUCUGGCUCAAACUCUUUGUGAUGACUGUUCUACCAUAUGGCUUAAUAGCUAAGUACACAUGCAUUGACCUCAAGCCUUCCCACAGCUCAGGUUCCUGAGGCACAGACUCUGGAUGGAAAUUAGCACAUAAUAGGUUUAUUAGAAAGUGCUCUUGGAAUUAACAUCUUUGGAGGAAGAAAAGAAGCAAUAUUGUCCAGAGAGGGAAGUUGAACUGCAAUGAAGUUGCCACAGAGGCUUCAAUGAAUCCUUCUGGGUGUAGAGCUGGGAUGACCUUUCCAGAGUUUUCCAAUUAAGGGAAUUGUAUCUCACCUCAAUCUCUAGUCUGAACCUUGGGUGAGGCAGCUUCUUUCAGCCAAUGGCAAUUCCUGGAGGCACCAGGAGUUAUGAGCAGUCAACACUCUUUCUUUGCUCCUGAGAAAAUUGAGUGCCCUCUUUGGUCCUGAAAGCAGCUCUGGGCAGCACUCCACAGCAUCCACUACAGACUUAGUGAGUUCACCCUGGCUCUCCCACUUACAGAUUGCAGGUUGCGGCAUGGGAUUGCAUCAGCCUAUGGGGAAGAAAAAGAAGAAAAUAGACAAUCUGCACAGAAUAUGUAAAAGGAGAACCAAAGCCCAAAGAGAAAAAUGCUGAGAAGUCGCCAGCAAAGAAA